UCGCCUGUUUUACAAAAACAUGUCCUUUUGAGUUUUAUUUAAGGUCUGACCUGCCCUAUGAGAAAUUAAAUGGCCGCGGUAUUUUAACCGUGCAAAGGUAGCAUAGUCACUUGUCUCUUAAUUGGAGGCUUGAAUGAAGGGUUGGACGAGAUAUAAACUUUCUUUAUUGUAAUUAGUUGAAUUUGACUUUUAAGUCAAAAGGCUUAAAUUUAUUUAUAGGACGAGAAGACCCUAUAGAAUUUUAUAUUUUUAUUUUAAUAAUUUAUUUGUUUAUGAUUAAGUUUUUUAUAUAAGAAUAUUUUGUUGGGGCGAUAGGAAGAUUUUUAUAACUCUUUUUUAUUUAAUACAUUGAUAUAUGUUUUUUGAUCCUUUUAUAGAGAUUAAAAGAUUAAAUUACCUUAGGGAUAACAGCGUAAUUCUUUUGGAGAGUUCUUAUCGAUAAAGGAGUUUGCGACCUCGAUGUGGAUUAAAA
rnacentral:rRNA from 1 species